rnacentral:rRNA from 1 species
AGAGUUUGAUCCUGGCUCAGGACGAACGCUGGCGGCGUGCGUAAUGCAUGCAAGUCGAGCGGGCUACGAUCUUCGGAUUGUAGCUUAGCGGCGAACGGGUGAGUAACACGUAGGUAAUCUACCCUUCAGAGGAGGACAACCUCAGGAAACUGAGGCUAAACCUUCAUACGUUCACUGGUAGGGAUACUGGUGAAGAAAGAGUUACCUUAGUGGUAGCUGCUGAAGGAUGAGCCUGCGGCCCAUCAGGUAGUUGGUGAGGUAACGGCUCACCAAGCCGAAGACGGGUAACCGGUCUGAGAGGAUGUCCGGUCACACUGGGACUGAGACACGGCCCAGACUCCUACGGGAGGCAGCAGCAGGGAAUCUUGGGCAAUGGGCGAAAGCCUGACCCAGCGACGCCGCGUGGAGGAAGAAGUCCUUCGGGGCGUAAACUCCUGGACUGGGGGACGAGUAAGGACGGUACCCCAGUAGAAAGGGACGGCUAACUACGUGCCAGCAGCCGCGGUAAAACGUAGGUCCCGAGCGUUGUUCGGAUUCACUGGGUGUAAAGGGCGCGUAGGUGGUUGUCUGUGUCUCAUGUGAAAACUCAGGGCUCAACUCUGAGAUUGCGUGGGAAACUAGGCAGCUAGAGGACGGUAGAGGGGAGUGGAAUUCCCGGUGUAGCGGUAAAAUGCGUAGAUAUCGGGAGGAACACCGGUGGCGAAGGCGGCUCUCUGGGCCGAUCCUGACGCUGAGGCGCGAAAGCUAGGGGAGCGAACCGGAUUAGAUACCCGGGUAGUCCUAGCCGUAAACGAUGGGUGCUAGGUGUUGGGGGGUAAAGACCCUUCAGUGCCGAAGCCAACGCGAUAAGCAUCCCACCUGGGGAGUACGGCCGCAAGGUUGAAACUCAAAUGAAUUGACGG